AUGGUUUCGUCAGCUUCCUUGCACAGACUGCAUUUUGGGUCAUCAGCUGAUUUUUCGAUCUUGGCCUUAAUUGCAUUUGUUCUGAUGGCUUGCUCCUGGGCUGCAAGGAUCAGGCCUUCUGUCUCCUUCUUCAGGGUCCCAUUCGUGAGCCAGAGCCAGGUCUUCUCCUUGUCAGCUUUUCCUUCAAUUUUGUCAAGGAACUUUCCAUGCAAUGUUUUGUUGUGCCAGCUGUCAGCUCUAGUUUGUAGUGUGGCUUUCUUGUACUGGUUUUUUUGUCUGCUGUGCUUUGAGGAGUUUCUGAUUUUUGACUUCAAUCAAAGCAGGUUCUUCACUUUGCUUUACAUAUUCUGCCAGGGCAUGUUCUUCUUCUUUGACUGCUUGGGCCAUUUUUCCAUGUAAACUAAUCAGAUGUUUGAGCCAAAAUCCAUGAAGUUGAUCACUACCAGGCGAUGUCCAGUUCUUGACUUUUUGCACUCGUUUGCUGAUCAUUUCAGUUGUUAUUUCCAUCUGUUCCAUUUUGUUCUGUGAGAAUUUUCCUUCAAACUCCUUUAUCCACCCAGCGUUUUUGUUGUAGUUCUUAUUAUUUUCCCAAAGCUCUUUCCAGAACUUUGUUGUUGCAGUUUUCUCUGGCUUUAUGGUUACUGUGUCUGUUGUUUGGUUCAGACUCUGGUAGAACCGUCUUUGGUCUGAUUGAAACAGUUGAUUUUGUCUGUACUGGAUGAUUCUGGCUUCAUAUUAUUAUUAUUAUUAUUAUUAUUAUUAUUAUUAUUAUUAUUAUUUAUUACUAGCUUGAGGACCCGGCGAUGCCCGGGUUAUUCGAAGAAGGCAUUGUUUGUUUUGGGAUGUUAGGGAAUAUCACUGAAGUUUGGUCCAGAUCCAUUGUUGUCUGGGGUCGGUGCUGUCUGGAUAAGAGUGAACUACAACUUCCAGAUUCCCAGGGCAGCCACCCCCAAACCCUGUCAGUAUUUGCAGCCCAUGUUGAGUCUGCGUGCCAAAUUUAGUCCA
rnacentral:lncRNA from 1 species